CAUCUGAGUGGAGCAGUAGAGGCUCAUCAACACUCACCAUGAAGAUCACUCUCUCCCUAUUCCUGCUACUACUCCACAUCAUCAACCUUGUCUCCUGCCUGACCCCUGGACACCCCCCGGACUCUGCCCCGUGUUAUCGACCUCGAACCAACCUGACUAUGAAUAUCUGCCUGACCCCUCUGAUCUGUUUUAUUUCCCUAAUAAAACCUCUUGUGAUUGGAUCCUC